rnacentral:rRNA from 1 species
UACGUAGGGUGCAAGCGUUGUCCGGAAUUAUUGGGCGUAAAGAGCUCGUAGGCGGCUUGUCGCGUCGACUGUGAAAACCCGCGGCUCAACCGCGGGCCUGCAUUCGAUACGGGCAGGCUAGAGUUCGGUAGGGGAGACUGGAAUUCCUGGUGUAGCGGUGAAAUGCGCAGAUAUCAGGAGGAACACCAAUAGCGAAGGCAGCUCGCUGGGACGUUACUGACACUGAGGCGCGAAAGCGUGGGGAGCGAACAGG